AUGCGCCAGUCGAUUGCAUAACCGAUUCGAUACAUGGCUGUAUUAUUGUAACAUGUAAAGAAUUUCUUUUUUUUUUUGGAUCAGUGUAAUCAAUUUUCAUUUUUAGCACGAUUAACAUUACACCGCUUUCUAAAAUCUGAAUCAGUGGCUAAGGUCUCAUUAAGUUACAAUUAAAAUCGACGUUGUAAUGAGUGUGGACAUUAGAGAGGAGGAGAAAUGAAGUUUCAAGAUGCUGUUAAUUAAUACGGGAGUAUAAUUACGUCUAGAAAAAGAGUGCCGGUUUUCCACCCGGAAAGAUGCAUUUAAUCACGCCAAACGUCAGUUGCAUACAAUAAACUCUUAUUUUCUCGAAAGAGAAAAACAUCUACGAACAGAUGUUAUUUAUUGCGUUACGUUGUAAAUUUUCUGUAUUUUCUUGAUAAUUGAAUUUAUUAAUUAAUAUUAUACACAUAUUUGACAUUUUACUUUGUAUCAUAAAUUUAAUUAAUUUCAUGUAAUAAAAUGUACAAUCUUAUUUAAUCAAAUGAUAACACCUGCGAUUGCCGGCAAUCCGCGAUCGACGCAGAGACAUGAAAUGGAUACAAAAAGAAAAGGGAAAAUGGAGACUCGCGUAAAAAGAUUCGCUUCUCGCUUCGAAUCCGCCAUACGCCGGCGUUUCUCUUUCAUGCCGGUUUACUCGAUACACUCUUGUCGACGUAUGCCUAUACAAAUUAGCCGCGUGUACAUACAGGUAUAUGGUUGCGCGAGCGGCAUUCCACGUAGCGCAUUAUACAUAGAUAGAGGCGAGGACUCCGCGGGACUCCCGCGGCAUGAUCCAAUCAAACGCCAAAGUGGAUCGCAACAAAACGCUGUACCGUGAUCUCUAUCGUUGGCCCAACGAAUUUCAAUAUGAUCCGAACAACCACUUAUCCCUUGCCGGCAGAUAUUCGUACGCGCGAUAUGAAAGGCGCGGCCGGUGCAUCGCGCGAGACGACAUUGAAUGCCGCGGCUAUAUGCAGUCGCCUUUUCGAACAAGUUCACAUUUCGUGUUCCCUUUAAAAUAAUCUGUUUUAUCUGUACACGCUAUAUGCACCGACAACGAAGCCACGUCGACAUCGUGAUUAAUAUCGCGUUCGAUCGCGUAAAAAAAUCGACACUUUAGACGAGUCCGAAUAUCGUUCUUCGGGGAGAGAAAAAUUUCAACUUAAAAUAUAUUUUGAGAAAUGAAGACUUACAUCGCUGUCACUUGUUCGAUGUCAAAAAAAAUCGGUUGAAUUUAAUUUAUUUAUUUUUGAACUAGACUUUGAAGCUAUUACAUUUAGUUUUUAUAUGUGUUUUCUUAAAAACUCCUUAUUAGAUUUGUUGAUAAAAAAUUGAAGUCUAUGAACGUGACUAAAUGUCAUUCUGUAUAACUGGUGAUGUUUAUAACAAUUUACGUAUGCUAAUCGCUCGUUUUUGCUCAUAUGUCAACGCGCACGAAAGUAAUUUGCAUGGUUAUAGGCUAUAGAUAUUCUCACAUCGCAUUCUCGCGACGCACUCCAUUAUACUGCAUCCAUUUUUUUCCUGCGAGAGAUCUCGUUGAUUAGAAUCAUUUGUAACGUAUCGGUAUCAUUUAUAACGCCAUUAAUCCCUCGCUUUGACAAGGAUUAAAUCUCGGUAAUCGUCAUAUUAUACAUUUCGAAGUAACAAAGUAUUGUUUUUUUUUUCCAAAUAUGUGAGCAGUUGACGUAAUUGAUAUUCGGACAAGGUUUAUCGAGAACAGCCGCUACUGCUUCGAAUGAUCACUCGUCGCGCGUAUUCUCAAUAUUUUGCUUCAUUAAAAUCUCAAUCUCAUUCGCAAUAUCUGUCUCUAAACUGACUUUUGCCGCAACGGCAAAAAGAACGUCGAGAGAGCGAUAGCUUUGUCGAAUGAAAAAAGGAGAUUGCCUAUUUAGAAACUGACGGCUCGAAAGCCCUAAGGUGGCGUCAUUUAUCUGGUAGGAAAAAGACGAAGCGGCGUUUAGAGAAAUACGUAGAUAGGUAGCGAUAGUAGACGAGCGAGUAAGAAAACGGGUAAAGAAAGAAGAGGCAGAGAGGGAAAAGAGAAGACAGGUACGAUCUUUAGGGGAUGACGAAGAAGCGUUUUUGUCGGCGUAGUCACGAGAGGGUGGGAAGAUCGCUUCUUCUUCGCCUAGCCUUUCUCCUUCUCGCUCUGACGUGGUCUUUUUCUUCGCAUUUCUUUCUCUUCACAAGGCGGCGCGUUUAAGAAAGCCCACCCCCGUCGUCCCUCCUUCCGAUCUUUCUUUCCCUUUCUUCUCUUUUAUCACUCCGCCGUGGUCGCCGGUUCUCGUUGCUCACCCCGAAGAGCCGUGCGCGCAAGGGCGAGAUGGAGGUUCCACGGAUGAGAAACGUGUUUGUCAAUAGCCUGUUAAUGCGCUAAGCCAUUAAUCAUUGCGAGCGCUCGCUCCUGUCACCGCGAACUUAAACCAUCCCCCAAGCUUCGAAGCUGGUAGGAAAGAGAGUGGGGGUGAGAGCACGGGGGUGGCUGUGCAAAACAGCAAGAACCGACUUGUGCGGUUCUUUCCUGAUCCCGAGACCUCGUUUCCGCCACUCGCUCUUUCCUCAUUCGUUUAUCUCUGCGUUACGUCUGCUCUGGUAAACAGAAUUUAGUUCCCAAAGCAUUUUUUUAUCAAAUUGAAGUGAAAUUUUACCAAAAAACCAUUUACCGAUUCGUAAUGAGACAAAGUCUCAUUAAAUGCAUUCUAAUAGUAUCACUAAAGGAUAUCCGUUUUCUUCGUGCUGUUUACUUAAUCUGUAGUUCAAACUACUUAAAGUGUUUAAUUUGCCAGAUGUUAUAUAUAAAUUUAAAUAAAAAUAAUUAUUUUGAUAUUGCUCUAUUUCUUUAAUUUAAGUCUUUUCUUAUAGAAUGCUGGCAAAAAUUAUGAAUAAGGGUAAAUAAAUUAAAAAUUCGUGGACUUUUUAUUUAUUGUAUUUGAAAGAUACAUAUUCAUUACAAAUAUUCUCUACGAUGUCCGGGUUUUAUGAAGCAAAUAAGCGGGAUUGACGAAACGCAACUGAUCUUUUCAUCACGGAUUCGAACCGCUCUUAAUUCCCGCACGUUUUCGUCAGGUGAAACGGUUGCGUCGGCGACGUAAAGCGGUGGCCGCCUUCGUGCAACGCGAUACAUGCUCGUCUAUCAUAUCGGCAAGAUCUUCGCGCGCGUUGAUGCACGGCCACGUAAUAAUAUCUCGCUAGCGGCGUGCGAGAGAGCGAAGAUUCGCUCUCUGAAAUAACCGCGCGUUUGCGGCCACCGCGCGCGGCGUGCACGCGCGGGCGUAGAGUUUGUGGAGAUGGUGAUCGGGACGCUUCUGUAGAAUGCAGCAGGGAAGAGGAAGACGAAGAGGAAGAGUGCGUGAGAGAAAGCGAACAAAUUCGAACGAGCGAGGAAGAAAGAGAGAUAUGAGAGAGAGAGGGUAAAUGAAAGAGGAAGGAGAUAGAGCAUUUCUAUUUAUAGCGUUCUAUUCGUUUCGGGUAACUUCGGAUGCUGCAUGGAUCUGCCAUGGCGGAAGGCAUUAUUAUGGUAAACGAACGUACGACGCUCCGUUUAUUAUCUCGAAGUUUAUUGUGCUUUCGCGGCCGAUUAACUUGUCUAGUCUCGAGAUCGGAACCGCUCGCGAGUAGAGAGUCGCGCACGCACGAUUCGCUUCUCCUUAAACGUCUCGCUCAUUCAGGAAUUAAUCGCUAAUCCGUAGUCUGUGGUCUGCAAUCUGCAAAGCUACUCGUGUUUGACUUUAUAAUAAUAAUGCACAUUGAAUAUAUAUAACAUAAUGAUAACGUUCAUAACUCUUAUUUCGUUGUCGCUCGCAGAUGUAGGCGCAUGGCGCCUUUUGCAUAAUCGUAAUCCGAGUUCCGGCGUCGCGGAUUAUAUGCCCGCGAUAACGAACCGCGGAUAAUAAACGUUUAGCGUUUAACGAGUACAGGCACUAUAAUUCCCCUCGUGAAACUUGUAUAAGAUUCACGGAUGUAACGAGAAAUCCGCGAACCGGCGCGCGGAACAUAAAUUAACGUUAACAAGACGCGGCCUGUACGUUAAUAGACGCACAACUAUAUAGCCGGUCGGGUGGAGUCUACGAAUUAGCGGCGACUCGACGUCGUAAAACUCGUCGAUUAAAAGAGUUCCAAAAGGCCGAGGAUGCGCGUGUCCGAAAGCGAAUUCGCUCGUAAAAACCAGAUGUUUCGCGAGAAAAUCGCGUGGAAGUGAUCGCGUUCCGCAGACGCGCGCUUCUGUGUUCCUCGCUCUGUUCCUCGACGUUCAUUCGAGCUCGCUCAUUAUUCCGACCGAAAUGAGAGGCGCACAUCGGGGCGAGUUUGCCUUCAUCUCCUAACGUUACAUCAAGUUCCGAGAGACGACUUCCCGUAAAACGUUGCUUGAAAUUAACUACGGGUUUAUUCAAUCCUUCGCCUCUUUGGAAUUAUGCCUCCGAAAGGAUUGACUCUGACGGGGGAUCAGUUAAACAUCAGUUAACUUAAGCUAAUCGCUUGUGGGAACGCGCGGGGCCGUAUGGGUCAUAUCGUUCUUACGCGCUGACCUCGGGGAUGCGCGAUACAUCAUGCACCGUGAGUGCAGACAAUGUGCUUUCCCAAGUACAAACUGCUUAUUGUUUCUCGAGCGGCGCGCGCUCGCUCGCUCGCUCGCUCGCUGCUGCGAGAGGGUCGAGAAGGAGUCGAGAAACGAUAAUAAUAGCUGUGUGCGCGGCCUCCUCGCAGCCGCCACUCACGAGCCGGCCGUUUUCUCGCUCCGGCUUUAUGAAAUAUCCUCGCCAUUCUUUCGCGCCUGACUCACUCCUCCGUCCGUGCCGUGCUUCAUUCAUGAGGGCGGCCGUGCGCGCGGAACAGUGAUCCGCACUGUGCGGCCACGCCGCUUUAAUUGCACGUAUGUACACGUGCCGCCACGACGACAGAUACAACGCCGCGCUCCUUUUUCUGUCCGGGAAAACGCUCGAGAUUCUUCAGUUCUUCAUAUAGGUUGUACAACCCCGUGUGAUUAUUACUUACUUUUAUUAAAAUUAUUAUUUACUUUCCGCGUUUAUCUUCUAUACGUGGUCGUCGGACCCUUUCUCCUCCUCAGGAAGAAAUGAGAAUCGCGAUCUAACGCUUUUUGACGACAUCGACGUUAUUAUCUAUCGGGAAUUGUGCUAGGUUGCUUUGAAGGCGGGAAAUCGUGAUAUCUCAUCACGAUCGAUUCAGAUCGACAACUUGAAUUCCGCGAAGCGCAAAUUCGCACGGUAUAUGUGCGUCGUAUUUUUAAUAAUUCUAGAUAUCUGAUACAAAUAUGCAAACAUGUAUAGUAUAUAAUCGAUCUCGAAUGAGAAUCGCAUUGUCCCUGCUGGGUAUCGUUACGAACGACACGUGUUUCCGCAGCCGGUUGCGUGCGGUAAGAAAUCGUCGUUUCGUAGCUAAUUAAGAUUUCGAGAUGCGAUAGGAAUGAAUAUAAUAACAAAAAAAAA